rnacentral:rRNA from 1 species
UACGGGGGGGGCAAGCGUUGUUCGGAAUUACUGGGCGUAAAGGGCUCGUAGGCGGCCAACUAAGUCAGACGUGAAAUCCCCAGGCUUAACCUGGGAACUGCGUCUGAUACUGGAUGGCUUGAAUUCGGGAGAGGGAUGCAGAAUUCCAGGUGUGAGCGGUGAAAUGCGUAGAUAUCUGGAGGAAUACCGGUGGCGAAGGCGGCAUCCUGGACCGACAUUGACGCUGAGGAGCGAAAGCUAGGGGAGCAAACAGG